UCUCCGUUGGUGAACCAGCGGAGGGAUCAUUACAGGACUCGCAAGACUCCUACAACCCUGUGAACUUAACUAUAAGCACGUUGCUUCGGCGGGUGUCUCGGAGGGAGUUCUCCCUCCCCGAGACGCUAAACCCGCCGGCAGCCUACUAUACUCUGUCUCUUUGCGUUGGCAUCUCGAGUACAAUCAAACAAGUUAAAACUUUCAACAACGGAUCUCUUGGUUCUG
rnacentral:misc_RNA from 1 species